GAUUAACGCUGGCGGCGUGCAUAACACAUGCAAGUCGAACGAUGAAACUCAUUAGAUUUCUUCGGAAUGAAAAUGAAUGGAUUAGUGGCGAACGGGUGAGUAACGCGUGAGUAACCUGCCUUACACAAGGGGAUAGCCUCUGGAAACGGAGAAUAAUACCCUAUGAAACCAGACAAUCGCAUGAUAAUCUGGUCAAAAUGUUUAGUGGUGUAAGAUGGACUUGCGUCUGAUUAGCUAGUUGGUGAGAUAAAAGCUCACCAAGGCAACGAUCAGUAGCCGGCGUGGGAGAGGGGACGGCCAACUUGGGACCGAGACCCGGCCCCGACUCCUACGGGAGGCAGCAGGGGGGAAUUUUGCACAAUGGGGGAAAACCCGAUGUAGCGAAGCCGCGGGAUUUAGAAGGGCUUUGGGUUGUAAAAAUCUUUUGUAUAGGAAGAAAAUGACAGUACUAUACGAAUAAGGUCCGGCUAAUUACGUG
rnacentral:rRNA from 1 species